rnacentral:sRNA from 1 species
AUCUAGCCCUGGAGACUGAACUGUUCCAUUCACAGAAUGGCUACUGAGCAAGUGGCAGCAGUGCAGACUUCCCUGAACUGCAUGACUAAUGUGCCCUGAAAUGAAUCUGGAGGGAUCACCUGGAGGGGUGAGAAGAUAGUUCAGUCUCCAUGUCUAUUGAGUCUUUGACCAAA